GGCCAAUCCAAGGCUUUCUGAAACCCCGAGAUCCAGGCCAAGGUGUCACCACAUUGGACUCAUCAGUUAUAAGUUUCCACGGAGUAAGGUCAUUUUCCUGGGAUCUGACAGACCAAGGAAAACCUCCUGAUACUCUAACUCGGAGGGUCCUAGUAGAUACUCUCCUCAAACAUUUAAUAAUGAAAUAACGCAAUGUGCUCGUCACACACCUGCCGUGUAGCAGGAGCAUCCACAGGCUGGCAGGAGUCAGAGGAAAAUGCUUUUCCAUUUGAGCUUUUCGCGCAGUGGACGCUGAAGGGCUGAUGGUGAUUCAGGUCAUCUUGCUCUCCAUGCCAAGUUGUCAGCCACAGGUAAUUUUCCUAACAAAGAACAUUUAAUGGAGCCUCUGACUCAUGACUUAGUUUCCAGCUGCAGGCGUGUGGUGAGGACCCACGUGUAAGUGAGAGAGGGGCCCAGCUGCCUCGGGGCAGGAGGAAGUGCUGAGCUGGCCCUUCAGAAAAGGAGAGACAGCUCAGAAAGGAAACACCCACCCACUCUUGGCAAAGUCUUUGGGAGCCCAUUCUCUUUUCAGCGUAAAGACCCUCCUGCUGCUCGGUAAAACCCCGAGUAAAGGCCUGCUGGGCUUUUGGUCUACACAUGGCAAGAGGAGGCCUCACUGCUUCUUCCUGAGCUGGGCUUUCAUGAAGAGGGUUUCCACCUGGGACAGUGGCCUGGCUGCUGGAAGCCAUGUCUGAAAACUAGACUGAAGUGGAAUGAGCAGCUGAGACUAAACUCCUUGCCCGAUUUAGUAGAUUUUCUUUG